CAUGUUUGGCAAGCAAUUUUGAAGGGUAGAACAGUACUACAAUUGGGAUUAAUCAAAAGAAUAGGUGAUGGUCUAUCAACCAACAUAUGGAAGGAUCGGUGGAUACCAAGGAUUCCAGGAGGCAAGCCAAUAUUUAAGAGCGAAGAAGCAACUGUGGAAAAAGUUUCAGAGCUCAUUAAUGAUGAUGGAAGAAGUUGGAACAUUCAAAAAUUGAAUAGUAAUCUAUCUCCUAUGGAGGUAAAUGAAAUCCUUAAGAUUCCUUUGGGAAGGUUAGACCAAGACCUAUGGGCUUGGGGUGAAGAAAGACAUGGCAUCUACACUGUAAAAUCAGCCUACAGAGUUUUAGCAAAGCAGUUCAGGGCUGAAAGUCAACAUCAUCAAGGAGUUGCACAAAGUUCAACUAUUGAAGAGAAUAAGUUAUGGAAGAAACUUUGGAGCUUGUCAAUUCCCCCCAAGGUGGGCGCAUGA
rnacentral:rRNA from 1 species